CAUAUGUAAUGUUUGUUCCUCCUCCAUCGUCUCAAACACCCUCAUCUAUGGUAAAAUGAGUGUGUAAGAAUACGCGGUGAUACACGAUAGGGGUAGAAGGGUUUUUUUUUUUUUUUUUUUUUUCACUCAGCGAGUUGAUGAUUUAAAUAUGGGUGUUGCUUCACUCGCCAGAUUGCAUACGGCGCACUUCUCACCAUUCAUUACUUUCAACCAUCUCGAAACCGACUGCGAGUUCGGAAUCCGAAGGAGUCCAUCCAACCCCCAAUACUCAGUCAUCAUUCCAAAAGCCCUUAAGUGAGGUUUAUUUAUAAAGCAUGACAUUAGAUACAUAGAAAUGCUGUGGGACGUCUAAGUGGUUGUAUGAGCAUGUCGGCAGCUGAGGCAUAUAUGUGCGGUGCGCUAGUCCGUGAUAGGCAGCCUAGGGCCAACACCUCCCCUUCGGACUAGCAGCCGUACAGAUAUCUAUCUAUCUAGAAAUCCUAUUAUACAUGAAAUUACAAAAUCAAAUCAAAUAAUCAAAUCAAGUAAAUCAGACAAAUCAAGCAAUCUAUCAAUCAGGUUGUUGUUUCCACUUCUUCAACUGAUUGUAAUUCCCUUCUUCUUUUAUAUAAUCUGGCUGGUUUUUCAAGAGUUCAUCUCUAUUCAAAGAAAUUGCAGUGUAUAAUCCUUGAUUAGAUUGACUGUUUAUGAGAUUCUUCUCUUUAUCUUGUUCUUUAUCUCUCUCUUUACUUUUGUUCUUGAAUUUCUUCAUCAUCUUAAUCUUCUUCUUAUUAUUUUCCCUUCAUUCAGCAUCUGCUAGAUGAGGGUUCUUGAGCCAGCAGACAUCAGCAAUAUGACCAGUUCAUUCAC
rnacentral:sRNA from 1 species